ensembl:lncRNA
GCUCCCCAGUGGCAUCUGAACAGUAAGAUCGCCGUUUUGCAUGGUCCUUUCCUGCUGACAAGGCCCAGGAACUUUGACAUGUUGUUCCUGAGUCCCAAAGAUUAAUAUCUGCUGAGGAUCUGGAAGUCCUAGCCUAACUUGAGGAGCAGGAGCCGAUAUGCAUGAUAGAAGUGGACAGGAUGAAGACACAGAGCAAAGUGGAGAUGCACCUUGGAGACAGUGGCCAGCGCCAGCGGCCGAGGCAUCUGGUGUUUGCACGGGGAAUCGGGGCAUUUAAGAGAAUGGAGACAGAGCAGAUAUUUGGGCUGGAAGAUGCACACUCUCCCUCAAUCUGCCCUCCACUGCAAGUUCAUACGUCCCUGUGGGAGGCAGCACCACAAGCUCCUGACCAGCCGCUGAGUAGGGACACGGUCUGGCGGGACCACUCAGGCCUCACAAGCGGCCGCUCCUCCACACAGGCAGGCCACAGGGGUUGGGGAGUGGGUGGGCUGAUUCUCCACCCCCCGCAACACCCCGGUCCAAUUUGGCCCCAGUCAGUUGGGCAGCAGGUUCCCAAGCCUUGUGGGCAGGGCCUCUGACCAGGCUGGAUGUGAGGCUCUGGGUACACACACACAGUGUUUUUCUUUGAGGCUUAUGAGUGCUUAUCCGUGUCAUAAAUUGUCACCUACUUCCCCUGAGGGAUUCCAGGCUGGCGAUCCAGGGAGGUCUCGACUUCCCCAGGAGUAGGGAAGUGAGGCUUCCUGAUUAGCCCACGGAGAGGUAAGAGUGACUCCCACCAUGAGGAUCCACAGCGAUAACUCCUGGCCCUGGUUCAUUCACGCCUUCACCCGCUCACCCUUCAGCAACACUUGGCAAGUGCCCUCUGGACCAAGCCUGUGCUCCAGGUCUCAGAGGGGCAGACAAACACUCAGAGAUGCAGUCACCUUUCAGAGACACUGGAAUAUUUACCAAUGAUACGAUAGGGUGUCUGGGCUUUGCUUCAAACGGAACCAAGAGAGAAGGAAGUGGUUGGACAUGUGUGAGGGGCAGGACAGGCAUGGGAGGAGGGUUUCUGGGGCUUGGGGAGGGCUUGAUAAACACAUUUAUUAUCCUGUUCUGUCUACCUUUGAGUAGACGUUUCAUAAGGAAUCAUGACGCCAAAUGAUAAUAGCCCCAGUGAAGAGGCACAGCCUGAGAAUCAGGAGGAUGAGGGCUCAGAGCCUGGCUCUGCCACUUUCCAAGGGGUGUGGCCCUGGGCGGGUGUCCUAACCUUUCUGCUGCUCGGCGUGCUCAUCCGUAAGGUGUGG